rnacentral:lncRNA from 13 species
GGGGGCUUGGGAGGAACGCGUUCGGGGGCUGGGGAGGAGCGCGUUCGGGCGCCUCUCCCUGGUCCUGGGCGCCACGCUGUGGGGCUCGGUGGUUCAGAGCCACACCUGACACCCUCACGUCCCAAACUCACACAGUCGCACCGACAAAGCCACAGGAAGGAGCGCGCAGCUGAAGACCCCACCUUGUCUGCCGGGGCCCAACCUGGGGCCUAGCCUCCCAUCACUGGGACUGCUGUUGGCUGGAGAGACACACCCACUCGUGAUCAGCGGACGUGGGCACGGAAGAGAGUGCACGUGCGUGUGUGCGCACGCGUGUCUGUGUGGGUGGGUGUCCACGCACACGUAUCUAAGGGGUUACCCAGCAUAUACCCUGAGCAGAUUUUCAACACCACCCCUCUUCUAUAAGACAAAAAUUAUUGUCAGUAAUAAUCAUGCAAUGAAUAACAAUAAAUGGCAGGCAGCCAAAUUUUUUUAUUGAAUUUUCUAUAUGGACUCAUGCCAUUUCAAAUAUAAAUAAAGAAAUAAUCAUUAUAGUACA